GAUGAACGCUGGCGGCGUGCCUAACACAUGCAAGUCGAACGGAGUCCAGCCUUUAAGACCUUCGGGUCAAAGAGGGGAAGACUGAGUGGCGGACGGGUGAGUAACACGUGGGCAACCUGGCUCAUAGAGGGGGAUAACAGAGAGAAAUUUCUGCUAAUACCGCAUAAGCACACACUGCCGCAUGGCAGAGGGUGAAAAGAGAAUCGCUAUGAGAUGGACCCGCGUCUGAUUAGCCAGUUGGCAGGGUAAGAGCCUACCAAAGCGACGAUCAGUAGCCGAUCUGAGAGGAUGAACGGCCACAUUGGGACUGAGACACGGCCCAAACUCCUACGGGAGGCAGAGUGGGGGAUAUUGCACAAUGGGGGGAACCCUGAUGCAGCGACGCCGCGUGAGUGAAGAAGUAUUUCGGUAUGUAAAGCUCUAUCAGCAGGGAAGAUAAUGACAGUACCUGAAUAAGAAGCCCCGGCUAACUACGUG
rnacentral:rRNA from 1 species